ACGAAGGGUGCAAGCGUUAUUCGGAAUCACUGGGCGUAAAGGGCGCGUAGACGGCAUGUUAAGUUUGUUGUUAAAGGCUCCGGCCUAACUGGAGUAUUGCGAUGAAAACUGGCGUGCUAGAGGGUGAGAGAGAGAAGUGGAAUUCCCGGAGUAGCGGUAAAAUGCAUGGAUCUCGGGAGGAACACCAAUGGCGAAGGCAGCUUCUUGGCUCAUUCCUGACGUUGAGGCACGAAAGCGUGGGGAGCAAACAGGA
rnacentral:rRNA from 1 species